GUUUAUCUAAUAUACUGGAUAAUGAGCCAAUAAACGAUGCUCUUCCGAAUGCACAACUAUUUGCUGUGGAUGUCAUUACACCCGAAUAUGGUGAAUUGAUCCAAUAUCUAAAGUUUCAGACUUUUUCCAUUUCUUAUAAUGAAAAAUUAAAGAAGCAUCUGAUUUUAAAAAGUGCACCAUAUACCAUGAUUGGCGAUGCCUUAUACAAACAAGGGCGGGAUGGAAUUUUACACCGUUGCAUCUUUCAAAGUGAAGUUCAUACAAUUUUGGAAGGAUGUCAUUUG
rnacentral:lncRNA from 1 species